rnacentral:rRNA from 1 species
GAUGAACGCUGGCGGCGUGCCUAAUACAUGCAAGUCGAGCGAACGGACGAGAAGCUUGCUUCUCUGAUGUUAGCGGCGGACGGGUGAGUAACACGUGGAUAACCUACCUAUAAGACUGGGAUAACUUCGGGAAACCGGAGCUAAUACCGGAUAAUAUUUUGAACCGAAUGGUUCAAAAGUGAAAGACGGUCUUGCUGUCACUUAUAGAUGGAUCCGCGCUGCAUUAGCUAGUUGGUAAGGUAACGGCUUACCAAGGCAACGAUGCAUAGCCGACCUGAGAGGAGGGUAGGCAACACUAGAACGGCAACAAGAUCCAGGCUAAGACGGUAGGGGGCAGAAGGGGAAGGAACGUAAGGUGAUAGAGGAUAGCGGAACAAAGCCGAGUAAGUGAUAAAAAGAUGCGCAUAUGAGUACUAAAUUACUGGUAUAAGGCAAAAGAGUAAGUAACUGGGCACAUCUUGACGGUACCUAAUCAAAAAGCAACGGCUAACUCCGUG